AUCCUGCUGACCGUGGCACACGGGGCAGUGGCAAGCCUGUGACCUGAGACGGCACCACCUCAGAGGGUCCCAGUGCUGGAGAGCAGGUUGGCAGACCCUGCGGCCCUUCGAUGACAUCACAGCAUUUGGAAUCACCAAGAGGUCUAGAGAUCGAGCAGGAGAAGUGAAAUCAUCACUAUUCGCAGAUGAACUAGACAUGCAGCUUCUACAGUUCACAUGGAAAAGCAAACAGGAAAGAAAGGCCGUGAAAAGAAUGAAGGAAUAGCCCUAAAAGACUUCAUGACAUACUGCAAAGCCUUGCUAAUUAAAUGAGCGUGGUCCUGGCCUGUGAACAGACUCGCAGACCCGUGAGACAGACCAGAGUCACCAGUGUGCCGACCAUGAGGGCCGUCUGGAGGCCCUGGGCACCUGGAACAAGUGUGACCUGCAGACCCUGGGUGGGGACUUGGAAUCCAUGUGCACUGAGCAUUGCUACAGGCUAAGCAAACAGCACACCACACACAGGUAACCACUCUCCAUUGUAUUUGUGUUUAGUCGAGUUUGUAUUUCUAUUGUAUUUAGAUACUGUUACACUAAAUAGAAUACAGAAUUAACUUAAAACCAUUACUGGGCUCAUGGGAAUCCUUUAGUGUUACAUAAUUUCUCCAUCAACUGGUAUAGUCAAAUCGAUGCUGGCCCUGAUAUCAGUUCCUCUAUAUUAAACCAAGCAUAUAUGAGGUUAAAACCAAAAGCACUCAUCCUUUUUCCCUGUUUCUCUAAGUUACAUUCACAUGUAGAUAUUGGUUGUGUUACAAAUUAUUAAAAGCCUGGGUGGCCUCAAGCUAGGCUCACACUGAUGUUUUGGCUAAUUACCAGUUCUUGAGGUUUGUCA